rnacentral:rRNA from 1 species
GCAUAUCAAUAAGCGGAGGAAGAGAAACCAACAUGGAUUCCCCUAGUAGCGGCGAGCGAAGCGGGAUGAGCCCAGAUUUGAAAGCUCCCGCCAGGGCGCAUUGUAAGCUGGAGACGUGCCUCGAGCGGCGCGGCUGGACGCCAAGUCUGCUGGAAAGCAGCAUCAGAGAGGGUGAGAAUCCCGUGCUUGGUCUGGCUGUGGCGCCGUGUUGUGGGGUGCGCUCGACGAGUCGCGUUGUUUGGGAAUGCAGCGCAAAGCGGGUGGUAAACGCCAUCCAAGGCUAAAUACCGGGGAGAGACCGAUAGCGAACAAGUACCGUGAGGGAAAGAUGAAAAGCACUUUGGAAAGAGAGUUAAACAGUACGUGAAAUUGCCAAGAGGGAAGCGCUGGCAGUCAGUGCCGUAGCUGUGUCUCUCUGUGGAUGCAGUGGGGCCCGCAUCGGUUGCGUGUGGGGGAGAAGGCAGUGCGGAAGGUGGCUUACCUCGUGUGAGUGUUAUAGCCGUGCUGUGGAUGCCCUGCGUGCGACCGAGGACCGCUUUUCUUAGAGGAUGCGGGCUUAAUGGCUUUCAGCGGCCCGUCUUGAAACACGGACCAAGGAGUCUAACAUGUAUGCGAGUAUGUGGGUGGCAAACCCGGCAUGCGCAAUGAAGGUAAUGUAGGUACGAUGCCGCUCUGCGGCUGCAGUACCGGCCGGCCCGGCGUGUGCGCACAGGAGGGGUCUGAGCAUGAGCAUACCUGUUGGGACCCGAAAGAUGGUGAACUUUGCCUGGCGAGGACGAAGCCGGGGGAAACCCCGGUGGAGGUCCGUCGCGGUUCUGACGUGCAAAUCGAUCGUUUCAGCUGGGCAAAGGGGCGAAAGACUAAUCGAACCAUCUAGUAGCUGGUUCCUGCCGA